rnacentral:rRNA from 1 species
GACGAACCGAGCGAACGUUGUUCGGAAUCACUGGGCUUAAAGGGCGCGUAGGCGGGCUGCCGCGUCCGGGGUGAAAUCCCACGGCUCAACCGUGGAACGGCCCCGGGUACGGGCGGCCUCGAGGGGGGUAGGGGCGUGCGGAACUGUGGGUGGAGCGGUGAAAUGCGUUGAUAUCCACAGGAACUCCGGUGGCGAAGGCGGGUCUCUGGGCCGUAACUGAUGCUGAGGAGCGAAAGCGUGGGGAGCGAACAGG